GAUGAACGCUGGCGGCGUGCCUAAUACAUGCAAGUCGAGCGAACAGACGAUGAGCUUGCUCCUCUGACGUUAGCGGCUGACGGGUGAGUAACACGUGGAUAACCUACCUAUAAGACUGGGAUAACUUCGGGAAACCGGAGCUAAUACCGGAUAAUAUAUUGAACCGCAUGGUUCAAUAGUGAAAGACGGUUUUGCUGUCACUUAUAGAUGGAUCCGCGCCGCAUUAGCUAGUUGGUAAGGUAACGGCUUACCAAGGCAACGAUGCGUAGCCGACCUGAGAGGGUGAUCGGCCACACUGGAACUGAGACACGGUCCAGACUCCUACGGGAGGCAGCAGUAGUGAAUCUUCCGCAAUGGGCGAAAGCCUGACGGAGCAACGCCGCGUGAGUGAUGAAGGUCUUCGGAUCGUAAAACUCUGUUAUUAGGGAAGAACAAAUGUGUAAGUAACUAUGCACGUCUUGACGGUACCUAAUCAGAAAGCCACGGCUAACUACGUG
rnacentral:rRNA from 1 species